UACGGAGGGUGCGAGCGUUGUCCGGAAUCACUGGGCGUAAAGGGCGCGUAGGCGGCCUGAUAAGUAGGGGGUGAAAUCCUGCGGCUUAACCGCAGGGCUGCCUUCUAAACUGUCAGGCUCGAGCACAGUAGAGGCAGGUGGAAUUCCCGGUGUAGCGGUGGAAUGCGUAGAGAUCCGGAAGAACACCGGUGGCGAAGGCGGCCCGCUGGGCAGUGACUGACGCUGAGGCGCGACAGCGUGGGGAGCAAACAGG
rnacentral:rRNA from 1 species